rnacentral:misc_RNA from 1 species
AACGCACCUUGCGCUCCUUGGUAUUCCGAGGAGCAUGUCUGUUUGAGUGUCAUGAACUCUUCAACCCUCCAUUUCCUCGUUUGAAAUGUUUUGAGGUGGUUGGAUUUUGAGUGCUUGCUCUUUUGUCAAAAUUAGCUUGCUCGUAAUAUAUUAGCACAAUUCGACUUCGAACUCGGAUUGACUCGGCGUAAUAGACUUUUUCGCCGAGGACAUUGAGAAUUAGCGUUCUCUAAUGGCCGAUUUUAGACGGUUUGAAUAGCUUCAAACGCUGUAAACCUAUUUUAAGAUUAGACCUCAAAUCAGGCAGGAUUACCCGCUGAACUUAA